rnacentral:rRNA from 1 species
AUGGCUGGUGCUGGCGUUCCCGUUUCCGUUCCCGUUCCCAAUCCCGCCCAGUGCUACCCUCCAAGUCUGCCUGAGCUUGACGCAAGGGCUCGGCUUACCGAAGGGACUGGUCCAGUAGACGGAGUAGCAGUGGACUGGGUUUGCACCAACACCGCCGAGCAUGCCGGUGGAUGCAAUGUGACAAACCCCCCUAUCGACAACUUCCUGUUGAAGUUGCCGGCUUUGUAUUGCUCCGGAUGCGGCAAGCUGAACCCAACAGGCUAUCGGUGGAAAAUGACGCACUGCAGGCUGGGAACAGUCUCGCUUCAUCUGCUGAUUCGUGAUCAAGGCCCGCACAAUACGUGCGUGGCCCACGCGAUUGUCACCGGCAUGGAUCUCAUGACCAAAAUCUAUAAAGCAUAUCGGUUUGAUUUUUUCUAUGGCCGUCCCUUGAGUCUUCAAGAUCUUUUCAAGACUUUUAAUGUUCUCUACAACGUGUCCUUCGGGUACGAGGACAACUUUGACAUGGAGUUAGGUAGAUCGUAUUUCAUCAUUGACAUCGCACAGCGUUUUGGUGUGAGGCUAAGUGCCCCGUCCCUCAGUACCGAGUGCCAGUGGAACCAAGUACCAGAGGACAGGCUGAAGAUGGGCUCUUUUUUUCAUGUACCUGCACAUGACACAGGGCUAAUCGUCAGACUGAUAGCCGGUGGAUUCCCUCUGAUCUGUGGCAUGCGCUGUGGAAGGACAUUCAGAUUCACGACUGAAGGCGAGAUCUACGAUGGGGGCGAAGUUGGUACCAGUCAUUGUGUCCUACUGAUAGGAUCGGGAGUAUUGAAUUAUCCUGGCAACCCAGCCAGGACCAAGACCAAUAAGUACUCACGGAAGACCUGGCCUUUGAACCCUAAUGGUAAACCGGGACCCCGUGUUUGCUUGGGAGCAAGGGGUUCGUGGGGGGACCAAGCUCAUGGAAGUUCCUCUCAAGAAGGUGGAGGCGGAGAUUUUUAUAUCUGGGCUGACCAGAUCGAUAGAGUGAUGGGGUUCCACAUGGAAGGCAUGUACUAG